GGGUGAGUAACACGUGGAUAACCUACCUAUAAGACUGGGACAACUUCGGGAAACCGGAGCUAAUACCGGAUAAUAUAUUGAACCGCAUGGUUCAAUAGUGAAAGACGGUUUUGCUGUCACUUAUAGAUGGAUCCGCGCCGCAUUAGCUAGUUGGUAAGGUAACGGCUUACCAAGGCAACGAUGCGUAGCCGACCUGAGAGGGUGAUCGGCCACACUGGAACUGAGACACGGUCCAG
rnacentral:rRNA from 1 species